rnacentral:misc_RNA from 1 species
GUCCCAGAAACUUCAGAAGGGAACUCUCCUGAUACUAGCAUAUCUGGAAAGGACAAAAUACAGGCAUAUAGGAACGUUAUUUGUAUUGCUGAUGAUGAUUUUGAAAGUGGUCAUUGUGGCUGUUCUCUGGAUGGUUUUGAAGGGGGUGGAAGUCAAAAUGCUUAUUUCACCUCAAGUAAGGGAUGUCUGCUUUCUUGUAAUCGGG